rnacentral:rRNA from 1 species
UACGGGGGGGGCAAGCGUUGUUCGGAAUUACUGGGCGUAAAGGGCUCGUAGGUGGCCAACUAAGUCAGACGUGAAAUCCCUCGGCUUAACCGGGGAACUGCGUCUGAUACUGGAUGGCUUGAGUUUGGGAGAGGGAUGCGGAAUUCCAGGUGUAGCGGUGAAAUGCGUAGAUAUCUGGAGGAACACCGGUGGCGAAGGCGGCAUCCUGGACCAACACUGACACUGAUGAGCGAAAGCCAGGGGAGCAAACGGG